UCCCUGGUGGUCCAGUGGCUAAGACUUUGCGCUCCCAAUGCAAGGGACACAGUUUGAAUGCUGGUCAGGGAA
rnacentral:tRNA from 1 species